rnacentral:rRNA from 1 species
CCUACGGGGGGCUGCAGUCGAGAAUCAUUCACAAUGGGGGAAACCCUGAUGGUGCGACGCCGCGUGGGGGAAUGAAGGUCUUCGGAUUGUAAACUCCUGUCAUGUGGGAGCAAAUUAAAAAGAUAGUACCACAAGAGGAAGAGACGGCUAACUCUGUGCCAGCAGCCGCGGUAAUACAGAGGUCUCAAGCGUUGUCCGGAAUCACUGGGCGUAAAGCGUGCGUAGGCGGUUUAGUAAGUCGUGUGUGAAAGGGGCGGGCUCAACCCGCGGACGGCACAUGAUACUGCGAGACUCGAGUAAGGGAGGGGGAACCGGAAUUCUAGGUGUAGCAGUGAAAUGCGUAGAUAUCGGGAGGAACACUAGUGGCGAAGGCGGGUACCUGGACAUUAACUGACGCUGAGGCGCGAAGGCGAGGGGAGCGAAAGGGAUUAGAUACCCGGGUAGUC